CUUAGCCUAAAGGGUUAAUUAAAGCAACCCUUUCAUUAUUAUUUAUCAUAAAACUAUUUAUUUUCUUUCCAUACACAGGCUUGGUUUACUUGCUAUUUUAAAUAAAAACCACCACCACUGAGGGCUUAUACAUAAAAUAUAAUUGUAAAUAGAGUAUUUUCAUGUUCAAUGUUAAUGCCUGCAUUGUAUUUUACAAUAUAGGUCAACAAGAAUAGCAAUUUAGAAAUAGGAAUUUACGUACUGGCAAUGGAACCAGAAACCUCUAUUUAAGUAUGAUAUAGUGAUUAAGAAAAAGGGUGUCAUUUUGUCAGACAGUUAUUCACACUGAAUACUGAGUACUGUUAAUGGGACUGCACGCAUGCUUUAAAUUAAUCACGUGUCAGCAUUUGCAGUAGUGGGACCUUAAACAGUUAAAGAAUGCUAAAGAACUCCCAAAUAUCUGUUCAUAUGCCUCCUCUUCUAUAUAUUCUCCCACCCUUUUUCAACGAAGUAAUAUCAGAUAGAUUUGCCUUUUCUUUAUGUUAUAAAAAACCUGAAUGUUAUCCUCCUAAAAUUAAUUGAGAGUUAAGCAAGGUGUAAGUCCUCGGAAAGUUGAUAGACUUGGUGACAGCAAUAACUUUGUAUAACCCUAUACCAUUCAGAACAUGCAGACGUAUGCACAGCUAUGAAUGUGAAAUAUAAAAGUCUGACAAUUCUAAAGUAUACUUUAAAGACGUGUUCCCAAAGGGUCCUUGUAAAGUAUCAUUAACUUAAAAUGAAUAUUUGGCACGAAACAGAUUUUUUACUCCAACAGAACUAUUUUGAUAACCUUUCAAGAGAAUCAGCCUAUUGAUUAUUAAUUACUAUUGUAGACUUUUAAUGAUAAAUUGCUUUGGUAGAUCAGGCUAUUUCCUGUUGGGCUCUGAGGGAGGCCUUGGCAUUGACCUGUGGUGCUUCAGGGAACGACAGAAAGAAUGCUGGGUAGUCGUUUACCCUAUUCAUGCUGGGGUGCACAGUGCAGGGAAACUUUGGGAGAUUCAUACAUUUCCCUUGAAAUAGAAGGCUUCACAGUACAUAUUAAUAAAUGUUUAGUUAAGAUGUUUUCAUAUCUUUGAGUUACCGUCACAUGGGGAAAGUUCAUUUUAAAAUAAACAUUCACUAAUAUGAACCAGGAAGUUUGACCUUUCCAGACAGGCGUUUGUACCAGCGAAUUUUUUCAAUGGUGCAGACACAUCUGGGGUUGGUACAGAGUACCAUUCACACUACAGAGCCCAGCAUAAGAACUUUUCCAAGCUAUUUCUUGCAGAGUAUUAUUUGCUGUUCUUCCUUCCCCUAAUUACUGGACCCCACAGAGAUUCCUUAGCUGCUUUUGUGCUUGAGGCAUGGUUUUACUGUUUGUGCUUCAGCAUUAUCAUUUGAGGGUUAGCACAAUAUGCAGUGGUUUGCUGAGGAAACAAAGGUGCAGAGAUAGAUGAAGACCAUCAACAGUUGGUCUGUAGCAGCGGAUGGAUUCUUACUGAGUAUAUAAGUCUCUAUCACUAAUCAUCAAUUCUAACUCAUAAGUCUAUAUCACCAAUAAACAAGGAUUGAAAUAACUUGAGGGCUGACUGCCCAAGACAGUGACAAAGUGAUCCAGGUCUAGUAAACCUGACUGGGGUGGAUAUAGACGGGGUGUAGGCAUGGAUAGAGCUGAGGCUGCCAAUUUUAUAGCAUCAGCUUACCCUCCUCCUCUGGUGGCACCCCGAAGGUAUAAGGAGCAUGAGCACAAGGAGUAUGAGGAGGUGUGGGAAGACCUAGGUAUGGAGCAAGAAAUUAGUGGCCUUGUACAAUGCCCUUGACUGACUUCAAACUUGCUAAGCACAAAUCCAGUCUAGAGCUAAUGCAACUCAAAGUAGCCUUCACUAUGACUUGGGCCCUCUCCGCUGUAUCAUUUUUUGUGUCACCCUGGAAGCUCUCUGGCCUCUCUUCUUGUGCAGGGAAGAGCACAGGAUAAGAUGGCUAUAUGAAAGCUAGAAUCAGGACAGAAGCUGAAGAAAAGGUGAAAAAGGUAAAAGAUAUUUCAUGAACUGUUGAAAGGCAUUGAUUUAAAAGAAAUGAAGGCUUCUAAGGGAGACUGAUUUUAAUGACAAAAGAGCUGGGCACAAGGUAGAGUAGAUUUGCACAUUACAGACCAAUGAAAUCAGAGAUGUGCACCAUAAGCUUUUGUAAGUUUACUUCAUCAGAUGCUGUGUUAAAAAGAGUUAACCGUGUUUCAUUCCUCAAGUGCUUUCACAAACAUGGACAUAACAAGUUAAGUAACUUUCUUUCCAACUUUGAGC